rnacentral:rRNA from 1 species
AAAGCUCUCUCCCGAUGCACAACCGUCGGUGGCAGUAAAGGCUUCAGUACGACCCUGUCAGAACUAUAAGUCUCAAAGCCCCGACGAGUAGGGUGGCGUGCCGGUGAGCGUUGAAGGCCAAGACGUGAGUCAGGCUGGAGCCGCCGGUAGUGCAGAUCUUGGUGGUAGUAGCAAGUACUCUGGUGAACCAACCUGGAGCUGUGAGGUCUGGAUCAGGGUUCCAUGUCAACAGUGAUUGAACAUGGGUGAGUCGAUCCUAAGCCAACUGUGAAAGCAGUGACAUCCCGACAAAGGGGCAAUUCGGUGUGUGGCGGCCACACGCGCGCGUUUGUGUGUACAUUCGCAAGUCUCCUCUCUCUCUCGUCGCGCGCAUGGCUUGCGUGUGUGGGUCUCUUUCUGGUUACGCUCAAAAAAGCGUUAUGGUGUAAGUGAGAGAGAGAGAAAACGAGGCAGUGCCGCGCGCGCGUGUGUGUGCGUUCCUUCUCAAAGCCCCCUGCGUCUGGUUCUAUGUCUGGCGAAAGGGAAUGGGGACUUUGUUCCUUGACCGGUCCCGGCACCCUCGAUAGGCUUUGCCAAUCAAUGGUCCAUGCAAAUGGAACCAGGCCACAGCCGCCGGCAGUCGCCCGAGGAAGAGUUUUCUUUUCUGCUUAACGCACGAGAUCAUCCCUGGAAACAGUUCGGCUGGCGAAAGGGUGCCCCGUUGCGGCAGAGCGCCACGACUGUCGUGCGCGUCUCGGUGUUCCUGCCGGUCCGUGAAGACGUGGUCGAGGGGAUUGCUAUUGUAUCAACGAAACGCCCGACAAGUUCGGGACGGACCGUACCCUAUAUCCGCAUCUGGUCUCCAAGGUUCGUAGCCUCUGCAGAGUCAGACACAUGUAGGUAAGGGAAGUCGGCAAACUCGAUCCGUAACUUCGGGAAAAGGAUUGGCUCUGAGGGCCGAGCUGGGCCGGGCCUUGCCUGCAAAGCAGUACCUAUAGUGACCGGAGUUUCAGGAGUGCGAGGGGCUCUAGUAGCUGCCUGCGCGUUCACGCGUGUGGGCACGAACGAGUCUACCGCUCCGCUCCAACCACGAACGGCUGUGACGGCAAGGGCUCUGGGCGGGAGCGUUCAAACCGUUUGUCCCCAGCUCGUCUGGGUGGCGGCGGUGCUCCGUCUGACCCAUACGGCUCCAGCGGCUAGCGGCUAACUCAGAACUGUCAUGGACCAAGGGAAUCCGACUGUCUAAUUAAAACAAAGCGUCGUGACGGCCCCUGUUGGGUGUUGACGCGACGUGAUUUCUGCCCAGUGCUCUG